UAAAAAGUAAACGAAGUACAAGGUGUCGCCUUUUUGUCUCUCCUUUCUCCCGUCUAUUACAGGACUCGAAAGGCGGGAGAAUAUAUAUUCUCCGUCUCUCUUGAUCGCCUCUUGGAAGUCUCCUUCCUUUCCUGUGCGAGGGUUGCCGGACGAUGGCGACUAGGGUUUGGAGAAGCUCCAUCCGGGAUGCCCUGUUCAAGAAACCUAAAUCUGGGGCUGCUGGCGGAGCUGUCGGGCCGAGGCUGGCCAGCACCGGCGCCGGAGCCGCCCCGAAGAUUCCACCCUCUUCCAAGAAGGGAAGGUUAUUAAGUGGAACCAUGAUAGGGCUAGCAAUAGCUGGAGGAGCUUAUGUGAGCACGGCCGAUGAAGCCACAUUUUGUGGGUGGUUGUUUAAGGCUACAAAAUUUUUGAACCCAUUCUUUGCAUUGCUGGAUGCCGAGGUUGCUCAUCGGUUGGCAGUCUCAGCUGCGUCUCAUGGCCUCGUUCCUAUAGAAAAAAGACCUGACCCAGCAAUACUGGCAUUGGAGGUCUGGGGAAGGAAAUUUACAAAUCCUGUAGGUCUUGCUGCUGGUUUUGAUAAAAAUGCGGAGGCAGUUGAAGGCUUACUAGGGCUAGGCUUUGGCUUUGUGGAAAUUGGCUCUGUUACCCCUAUUCCCCAGGAGGGAAAUCCUAAGCCUCGUAUCUUCAGAUUGCGACAGGAGGGUGCUAUAAUUAAUCGAUGUGGGUUCAAUAGUGAAGGUAUUGUGGUGGUUGCAAAACGUCUUGGUGCCCAGCAUGGUAAGAGGAAGAUGGAAGAAACUUCAAGCUCAUUACCUUCAUCAGGUGAUGAAGUAAGGCCGGGAGGAAAAGCAGGUCCUGGCAUUUUGGGCGUUAAUCUUGGCAAGAAUAAGACAAGUGAAGACGCAGCUGCUGACUAUGUUCAAGGAGUCCAUACUUUAUCACAGUACGCUGACUACUUGGUCAUAAAUAUCUCUUCUCCAAACACUCCAGGCCUUCGCAAACUUCAGGGGAGAAAACAACUGAAAGAUCUUGUUAAAAAGGUGCAAGCUGCUUGUGAUGAGAUGCAAUGGGCAGGGGAGGGUCCACCGCCAUUGUUAGUGAAAAUUGCACCUGACUUGUCUAAGCAGGACCUUGAAGAUAUUGCAGUGGUUGCUCUUGCUCUCCGCUUGGAUGGGCUGCGUCUUACUCAAGGAUUAGGUGCUGGUACCCAUUCCUGGUCUAAUCCCAGGUUGGUAUGGUAUCAGGACAGACUGAAACAACCAUCAACAGUAAGAAUGAAGCGAAAAUAAAUAAAAAAAAGGUGUCCCAGGACACCAGGCCAUCCAAAAGUGCUGCUAUGCAACCGUCCCAGUCCAUCCUGUCUGGUACAAACCGAGACAGUCAGGAUGUCCUGGUCUAGUAAAAAAACCAGUGUCCUAGGUGCGUCCGUACUGUUCUCUCAUCAGAAUGUUAUGGUACCGGCAGGACAUGCCAGGAUGCAUCAGGACUCAAAUCUCAUAGUUAUGAAGAGAUGUUUUCUAAAACUCAGAACAAUGGAUUUUAAGGAAGCACUCUUUUCUUAGGUGUUGAAUUUUUUGACGGAUUUUGAGAAUGCAAGAACUUAAACAAAAAGAGGGAAAAGUUACUGGUCAUGCACUCCAACCUUUAUAUGCAGCUUUUGCAGUUUAUUGCUCACGCAUAGUUUAAUGAAUAUGGUAGGUUUAUGAAGGCUUUUUUCCUAGGUUUGUACCUUAGCUGUCAAGUAUAAUGGCAUUGUUGCAUAUCUGGUCAUCUUAACUGUAUAUCUGGGCACUGACCUCAUUUAUUGUGUUAUUUCUGUAUGAUUUUAUAUGGCUUUGGAAAUUCUGUAUGCUCCCAUAAUUCUGCUUAGCAAUAAAUGUUACCCAUAUAUCAUAUAUUAAAACUGUUGAAAUUUUAAAUUACACCAAUCUUUCAUAAUGGUUGCAUUUGAAUUUAUUAUGCACAAGUAUAAACAAUGCCUCCUCAGAUCAUAUCAAAUACAACUGUUUCAAGACCCGAUCCUGUAAGUAGACACCCAUUGGCUGGAGAAUCUGGUGGUUUAAGCGGGAAGCCACUCUUUGAUCUGUCAAUGAACAUUCUUAAGGAGUUGUACAUUCUUACUCGGGGAAAAAUUCCCCUUAUAGGCUGUGGUGGUGUUAGCAGUGGCGAAGAUGCAUACAAAAAGAUUCGAGCUGGAGCAACACUUGUUCAUCUUUACACAGCCUUUGCUUAUGGUGGACCAGCACUCAUUCCCCAAAUAAAGGCUGAGCUGGCAGAAUGCUUAGAAAGGGAUGGUUUUAAGUCCAUCCAGGAAGCAGUAGGUGCGGAUUGCAGACAAACUUUUCAUAAUUCUUAGAAGGAACUGGAUGGCUCAAAAAUGCUUUGUGCUGAUGGCAAGUGACUUCCCAAUCUACUGAUUUCCUUAACCAAGUUAAGCCAACUCAUUCUACUUAUGUGCAAAAAUGAAACCAGUUUCCCACACUUGAGAACUCAAAAGUUGCGGCUAGUUUUCUCUUAACAUCGAGCAAUUUUCGUUCCUGGAUUUUAUUAAGUUUUGCUCCCUCGGUGUGACCUAUCAUCUCCAUAUUGGCGAUGAAGUUUUGAUUGAUAUAUGUGGCUUCCCAAGGUAUUCUAGAAACGUGCAAGUCAUUUGAAACUUUGGGAAGUUUUUUAUUCCUCAAAAUUAUAUAUAUAGCUUGUUUUUGGAGGACAGACAUUUUCCCAUUUCUCAAAACGGGUCUGUUAGCCGUGUUUUUCCCUUUAUAAUUUUGCUUUUUGGUUGUUGGGAAAGGAUGAACAUUAUUUUACCUCUUACCUUUUUGUAAGCUGUGUUGUAAGAUUUUCAGAUCCUAUGAUUAUAUUUUUCUUUGGUGCUCC